UUUUUGGUUUAUUCUCCUAAAACUUACUAGUACUUGUUGAUUUCUUCUCCUAAAAAUUAUUCUCCUUCAGAUUUAUAGGCUUACAAAAAUCGAAAAUAGGUCAUACAGAUUCAGAAUGUUUAUUAGAUGCAUAAACGAAUUGAGAUUAUUUCUUGUGUGUUUAAUUUGUUACACAGAGAUAGAUCUACUUCUACUUGUUCAUGUACGAUAUAUGCUAGCAGGAAGUGUUGCUAGCCUGCUAGGUGAGUUCCUGUAUAGCUAAACCAUGUAUUUAUGCAAGGCUUGACUAACAUGUAUGAUGAUUUUGCAUUUGUUUCGGCCUACUAUGGAAAAUGGACUGAACUUCCUGGUAGUGUACGCUACAGGAUAUCCAUUUUCUGAUUUGAUUUUUUUAUAUCAGUGCUCACCUGGCGAGGAAGGUCAUUUCCAUACUAUGAAGAUCUUUUCGCUCUAUAUGAUGGACGCUAUGCUCAGGGAAGGAGUUGUCAUGGCAUGGAUUAUUAUGCGAACAAAGCAACGCAACUCUCACAGUUUCCCACAUCACAUUCACCACAAUUGCAAGGGCCAGAGGCGCAUUUGCACACACCUACACCAACCAUACAUGCUCCUGGUGAUUCAUCCAUGCAAUUUGAAAUUGAAGAGGAUAGUGAAAACACAAAUUGGUUUUCUAGCAACAAUACAUUCAGUCAAGUGGAGGCAAACCCGACUCAAGGAAAUGACUUGACAUUACAUGCUCCAUCGCAAGUUGAAACAAUACCAAUUUCCUCACAACGUGUUGGACAGACCUUGCAUGAAAUUCCACAAGUUGUACAUCGCAAUCCUCGACCAUCUAGCUCAGCUCCUGUGGUUACCAGCAGCAAGAGAGCGAAAAAGCAAAAGACGACUAGUAUUGAUGAUUUUCAUGAGAGAUACCUGAAACUCAGAAGGGAAGAAAUAGAUAGGUUUGCAGCCAUUGAGGAGAGGAAAUUAAAGGACCCCUUCAGCAUCAAAAAAUGCAUCAAAGCACUUGAAAAGUUGGAGGGUCUUUCGAUGGCAGAUAUGCUAAAAGCAGCGGACAUCUUCACCGCCAACAAGGAGAACAGGGAAGUAUUUCUAUCAUUUUCAAGUAACGAAUUACGAUUAGGUUGGUUGACUGGAAAAGUUCGGAAUACCUAAUCAAAUGAAAUUAGUAUUUCGUGCUAGCCUAAAAUUGAGAUAUAUUUUGUACAUGUGCAUUUAUGGACACAUGGUUAUGAUCCUUGGCGUAGGUAACUUGUAAUAGAAUGUGAUAUAUUUUGUACAUGUGCAUCUCUGGGCACAUGGGUGUGAUCCUUGUCAUAGUUAACUUGUAGUAGGUUGUGCAUGUGCAAUACUGGGCACAUGAUUGUGGAAGUGUCAAAAUCAUUCAACUUUUAAUGCAGUGUUAAAUGGCUCUUAAAGCAAUGUCUUUCUGCAGUGUUUGACUAAAAUAAUCAUAUUAAAUGAGUGGAGUACAGUACAGCCAAAUAAUUACAUAACAUGAGAGAAAAUUACACAAUACAUAUGCUUAUCUUUUGGCAAUGUAAUCUGCCCACAUUUGCAUUGCCAUGGCAUCUCGCAUCUCAUUUCCAGCUUGUCUCAAGUUGUUAAAUACAAUCACAUCUUUUUUGUAUUUCACAUCUCCAUCUGGUACAUCCUUCAUAUUGCUUUCAUUAAAAUCCAUUGUAGCUCUGUCAGGCAGUGUCAUAUCUCCAUCGUGUAGCCUUAUGAAAUUGUGCAAUACACAACAAGCUACAACAGUAUCAACUUGUGUGUCAAUAUCAAACAUUGUAGCUGCCUUUAGUAUGGGAUACCUUGCUUUCAGUAUGCCAAUAAUUCUUUCGACAUGAUUUCGUAGUUGAGCAUGUCGAAGGUUAAAUAACUCCUUGUAGCAUUGUGGCCUUUGUUGAACUCUUCCUUGUUCUUGUAAAUUAUAUCUAGUUCCUCGGUAUGGAGCAAUGAAUUGGGGUGUAUUUGCAAAACCCGCAUCUACAAGAUAAAAUUUACCAGGCGGUACAUUGAAUCCAUGGUCUAGUGCAUCUUGCAAAACCCUUGCAUCUGAUGCAGAUCCCUCCCAUCCAGCAUGUACAUGCACAAACUUCAUGUCAAAAUCACAGGCAACCAUUACGUUUUGUGAAAGACUUUGUUUUCUAUUUCUGUAUGGAUCUUGUUGCCCAGGAGGAAUAGUCAUGGGAAAGUGAGUACCAUCUAUAGCUCCAAUACAGUUCUGCAGAUUUAGUUCUAUAGUUAGAUAUAUAAAUAUAAGCUAGAUUUACUCAAUACCAAUUCACCAUGAUAGGACUUGAAAACAAUUACCUUAAAGUAUGAAAACUUUUGUUGCCUUAAUAUAGGAUGCUGGUGUAUAGAAGGUUGUAUGUAGUUGCAUGUGAGCCGUGUAAUCGCGCUGAGCACGGCGUGGAAGUAAGUACUAACUGAAUAUGCACCGUGCUGGAAUCUGUCUUGCAAUGUUCUGUUGGUUGCGUUCUUUGAUACUGCAUAUAAAAAUAUGGCUACUUGCUCUUGCACAGAGAUAUACCUUGCAUCCUGGAGAAGUCGCUUUUCUUGCAGUUUUUGUACUAAAGCUUGAAAGAUUGAUCUCUCCAUAUGGAACCGCCAUUCACAUAGAACCUCGUGGCCGGUAAGAGCUUCAUGCACAUAAGUAGCUCCAUUCAAGAUGGAUGUAUGUAUUGCUCUCCUCUCAGAUGAUUGGGAUGAGCUACCUUGUACUGUAGGGAGUAUGAAAUGUACAAAAUCAUCUUCGUUUCUUGACCGCCGGCUAUAGUUUGGAUACAUUCAGCUUCAGGAAUGAAUGGAUUUUGAGGUUAGAAGAAUGAAUGGAUUCCUGCUACAAGAAUGAACUAUGCUUUCCUAGAGAAGUUCUUACAGGGGAGGAGAAGAAAUGACAAGCAAGUUGCUGGCAGUGCAUUGUUUGUGCUUAAAUAGCAAGAGAAAGAAGAAGCAAUGGCUAGAGAAACAACAGCAAGAAUACAAUGCCCAAGCACAUAACGGCUAGUUCUGUUUCCUAGAGAAGUGUGCAGAUUCCAAAACUUUUUCCCUUUGUUCAGAACACCCCCAUAAGUUCCCAUUCCUCUUAGUGGAAGCCUGUAGGUUUCACUUUGCACUCCAUCCCAUACCUAUGCUUUUUCCUUCUCCUCUGUUUUGUCAACCCAUGUCCCGAACAGGGCCUAAAGGGAAAAACUGUCCCAAAUAAUCUGAUGUGCGGGCCCAUAUGUAGAAAUAGAGGAAAACGUUUAGCUUGUGCCAUUUUGUCUAGCUAUCAAUGAAACGUGUGCCGUUUUAUCAAAAAAAUGAAAGGUGGGUCAUACGAUAAAUGUACGAGGAAAAGUGUUGUCAUUUUAUCAAGUUGCUCAUCUUUGAUUAACUAUGUAUAGUUUUAGCUUUCGCAAACCAGCGUCUCUUGGCUUGCCCUACUACUUACGAAGCAAAAUGACAUGUCUAUGUGGUCUGCACUUUAUUAGUUAUACAUGGCUUCACAUGACUUUGUGCGGCAGACAAGGCGUACUUGUUUCACCACUAAUGAACUGUACAUAUUGUUUUCUUGAUUUUUUUUACUUUAGCUACAUAGAUGCUCAGUAUGUUUCAUAAAUGUACCAUUUGGGGAAGUGUUUAUGCAUCUUAAUUAGGCAUGAGUAAGAUUAGAACAAGUCAAGUUAUGUACAUUUUGAAAUAUAUCCAAACUAGAUAUAGUUUCAGUCAGUUGAAUCACAUACGCUUGCAUGGUUAUGCCAAUUGUUGUUUGCCUGCCAAUCUGAUACUAUUUCGAAACAUUUUAGGUCAAAAAGCCAAAGCUGACCACUCCAACACAACCUAAGACAUUUGUGCUCCAAGACAACGUCAAGACAUUUGGUAGCUGAGAAUUUAGAAUUGGAACGCAUUGCAGGAGCAAGGAGCAACCACACAAGAAUUAGUCUUUAAAUGAACACAUAUUAUGUAUAAUGUAUGGAAAGCUUAGUUCUAGUUUGUAGUAUCUUUUAAUUAUUUACAUAUUUCAUAUGAAUGUUGGAUCUGAUGCAGUUGUGAACUCCAUGUCUCCAUACACUUUUAGUGGAUGUAUUUGUUCC